AUGCCUCUUCUUCAUCUGUUGCUUCUUUUACAAGCGGUUCUAAUCCUUAUUUCACAAGAUCCCAAAGAUCUUGACAAUAGAACACAACAUUCAUCUGCUUGCACUGAUUCUCAUAGUUAUCAACUUUCAGAAUUGGAAGACUUGCUGGAAAAUACCCGUUUGGAAUAUUCAUUGCCAUCGUGA